UACUCGGGUGGCGAACGGGUGAGUAACACGUGGGUGAUCUGCACUGCACUUCGGGAUAAGCUUGGGAAACUGGGUCUAAUACCGGAUAGGACCGCACUUUAGUGUGUGUGGUGGAAAGUUUUUUCGGUGUAGGAUGAGCUCGCGGCCUAUCAGCUUGUUGGUGGGGUAAUGGCCUACCAAGGCGGCGACGGGUAGCCGGCCUGAGAGGGUGUACGGCCACAUUGGGACUGAGAUACGGCCCAG
rnacentral:rRNA from 1 species